GCGCUUGCGGCCGCCCCCACCGCUGCCUAUAUUGACCCUGUCCGGGGCAACCCGGACUAUGGACAUAAACGCGCUCGUAAUACGCGGAUCGGACCCGGGGGCGGUACCCGGCGGCUCCACCAACCACUCCCUCAUUGGGGGCAAAUGGGGCCGAAACAGGAUCGACGAACGUCUAAAGGGGUUAUGCUUUGUCUCGGUGAGCUACCACCGUUAUCGGUGCAAAAGUACAGUUGCCAAUGACAACC
rnacentral:tmRNA from 1 species